GGUAAGAGUAGUAGCUUAAGGUUAAUGAUGUAUGUUUUGUUAGAAUUAAUUAGCAGUCUUGAUGGGAUGUGUGAAACAUCCUAGGUUGAUAAUUUAUGAAAGAUUUAAGUAGUAAUUAUAAGAUAUAUGUGUAUAUGAGGACCAGUGUUAAAAUGAUGAAUUGUGGGUGAGUCAUUAAGUGGAUAAGGGCAUAAGUAUAUAAGAAUAA
rnacentral:lncRNA from 1 species